rnacentral:sRNA from 1 species
GAAGGGUGCACGGUGGGGGAUGCCCUUCCUCCUCGACGGCCGGCACCGGCUGAUCGGCGGCGUGGUCGGCGUGAUCGGCGCCGUGUUGGACUUGCUGCCCUCGUCGUCGGACCACCGGAUCAUGCCCCGGUCGAACCGGCCGAGCUGAUCGUAGCCGGCCGCCGCCCUCCUCGCCUUCUUGGGGCUGAAGGAGUCGUAGUAGCUAGCUAGGGGUACCUUGCAGCCGAGGGAGCAGAAGCGGAAGGAGUCGGGGAGGCUGCGGCAGCAGAUCUCGCAGGUGUUGGUGACGCCCUUCCCGGGCCUCGCCUGCGGGCGGCCGUUGAGGAACACGAUCUUGGCGCUGUUGAUCACGUACGUCUGCACGUGCGAUAUGUCGAUCAGCUUCCCCACCUCCGACACCCUGAUCACGUUGUGACGAGGAAGAAGAAGACUAGAUGGUUAUUACCUGGACGACGUGGUGGUCGCGGUGGGCGGGGAGGCAGUAGGCGCAGAGGGCGUCGCCGGUGCAGCCGAGGCAGAAGAGGUUGCACUCGUUCUUGCUCAGCUCCGGGUGCGACGCGCACGCCACAAAGAAGCUCGUCGACAGCAGCGGCCGCAGCCACGGUGGCCCCAUGUCCUCCUCCGUCUGCUGCGCCGCCGCCAUCGCCUCGCCGCCACCGCCGUCGUCCGGGCUC